GACAGAGGGGGCAAGCGUUGCUCGGAAUCACUGGGCGUAAAGGGCGCGUAGGCGGGAUGGCAAGUCAGUCGUGAAAUCUCUCGGCUCAACCGAGAAAACGUCGGGCUGAUACUGCCGUUCUUGAGGGAUGCAGAGGAGACUGGAAUUCCCGGUGUAGCGGUGAAAUGUGUAGAGAUCGGGAGGAACACCGGUGGCGAAGGCGGGUCUCUGGGCAGUAACUGACGCUGAGGAGCGAAAGCGUGGGGAGCGAACAGG
rnacentral:rRNA from 1 species